rnacentral:rRNA from 1 species
UUGGAGGGCAAGUCUGGUGCCAGCAGCCGCGGUAAUUCCAGCUCCAAUAGCGUAUAUUAAAGUUGUUGCAGUUAAAAAGCUCGUAGUUGAAUUUCGGGGUCAGCAGGUUGGUCGUGCCUAUGGUAUGAACUGGCUUCGCUGGUCUCUCCUUUCUGAAGAACUGUAAUGCCAUUAAUUUGGUGUUGCAGGGACACAGGACUGUUACUUUGAAAAAAUUAGAGUGUUUAAAGCAGGCUAACGCUUGAAUACAUUAGCAUGGAAUAAUGAAAUAGGACGUUCGAACCUAUUUUGUUGGUUUCUAGGAUUGACGUAAUGAUUAAUAGGGAUAGUUGGGGGCAUUAGUAUUCAAUUGUCAGAGGUGAAAUUCUUGGAUUUAUUGAAGACUGACUACUGCGAAAGCAUUUGCCAAGGAUGUUUUCAUUAAUCAAGAACGAAAGUUAGGGGAUCGAAGACGAUCAGAUGCCGUCGUAGUCUUAACCAUAAACUAUGCCGACUAGGGAUCGGAUGAUGUUAAUUUUUUAAUGACUCAUUCGGCGCCUUACGGGAAAC